rnacentral:rRNA from 1 species
AUUGAACGCUGGCGGCAUGCUUUACACAUGCAAGUCGGACGGCAGCACAGAGAAGCUUGCUUCUUGGGUGGCGAGUGGCGAACGGGUGAGUAAUAUAUCGGAACGUACCGAGUAAUGGGGGAUAACUAGUCGAAAGAUUAGCUAAUACCGCAUAUUCUCUGAGGAGGAAAGCAGGGGACCUUCGGGCCUUGCGUUAUUCGAGCGGCCGAUAUCUGAUUAGCUAGUUGGUGGGGUAAAGGCCUACCAAGGCGACGAUCAGUAGCGGGUCUGAGAGGAUGAUCCGCCACACUGGGACUGAGACACGGCCCAGACUCCUACGGGAGGCAGCAGUGGGGAAUUUUGGACAAUGGGCGCAAGCCUGAUCCAGCCAUGCCGCGUGUCUGAAGAAGGCCUUCGGGUUGUAAAGGACUUUUGUCAGGGAAGAAAAGGCUGUUGCUAAUAUCAAUAGCUGAUGACGGUACCUGAAGAAUAAGCACCGGCUAACUACGUG